CACGUAGGGCGCAAGCGUUGUCCGGAAUCAUUGGGCGUAAGAGCGUGUAGGCGGUCCGGUAAGUCCGCUGUGAAAGUCGGGGCUCAACCCUCGAAUGCCGGUGGAUACUGUCGGGCUAGAGUGCGGAAGAGGCGAGUGGAAUUCCUGGUGUAGCGGUGAAAUGCGCAGAUAUCGGGAGGAACACCAAUGGCGAAGGCAGCUCGCUGGACGGUACUGACGCUGAGACGCGAAAGCGUGGGAGCGACGAGG
rnacentral:rRNA from 1 species